UGGCUCAGUUGGUAGAGCAUGGUGUUUGCAACGCCAGGGUUGUGGGUUUGAUUCACAC
rfam:Salmo salar isolate Sally breed double haploid chromosome ssa12, whole genome shotgun sequence.